rnacentral:rRNA from 1 species
GACGAACCGUGCGAACGUUGUUCGGAAUCACUGGGCUUAAAGGGCGCGUAGGCGGGUUGCCAAGUCCGGGGUGAAAGCCCCCAGCUCAACUGGGGAAGGGCCUUGGAUACUGGUGAUCUCGAGGGAGGUAGGGGCGAUGCGGAACUUCCGGUGGAGCGGUGAAAUGCGUAGAUAUCGGAAGGAACGCCGGUGGCGAAAGCGGCGUGCUGGACCUCUUCUGACGCUGAGGCGCGGAAAGCCAGGGGAGCAAACGGGG